ensembl:lncRNA
AGUACAAUCCCAUGCCAGGCUUAUUAGGCUGGAGACACUCCAUAGUGAAAGAUGUUCUUUUGCUGUUUGCUGGAUUACUGGGGCUCUGGCUUCCAGAAGUUUUUUUGGAUGUUGGAAGCAUUGGCUCAACUCUCACUCCGAAUGCCUCAGGCUUUUUCAGGAAGUUCCAUAAAGUAAUACAGAGUGGUCUAGGGUAAAAAUGCCUCAACUGUGAACAUGAAUGAGACCUGUGCAGUGUGGACCACCCAGGCAGGCCUGCUGAAGAAGCAAGUUUGACAUCAGGUGCCCACCUUCCUUGCAGAGACCCUACCUAUGUCUCCACAUUUCUGGGCACAUACAGAGCUUUUUCACCACCCAACAGGUGCUGGAAGUCUUGUUUACAAGGUGAGCACCCAGCCUCUCCACAGUUCAGUUGGAUUUGGCCAUGUACAGGCUUUGAAUCUCAGUUUGUUCCUCUGACUGGGGCAGAGUUAUAGGGAUUCAGUGGGGCUCCACAGGGAAAGUGCACCUGGCCCUGUGGAAAGGUCUGCUGGCAGGGUUGUGCUGUGCUGGGUUAUCAUUGUCCUUUCUCCAUGAUGAAGUUUUUGCUUAUCCCUCACUAUCACCAGGUCUUCAUCUGGGCUGUUUUCCCAUUUGAAAAGGAGAUUUGAGGCUCCACCUGGGGGUCUGAGCCCCACUCAAAUAUCUGUGAUGGGGCUGGUUGGGUUCAUUCAUUCAUCAAACCUACAGGAAGCCCCACCAUGUGCAGGCACUUCUUUAGGAACUGACUGUGAUCCAAUACACAGAGCACAGAGCACCCUGCCCUCUGGGGCUCCAUUCUAGUCAGGAGCCAGUGACACUAGAUAUGACAAGAGGUAGCACCCACAGGACAGUUGAUAUGAUGCCCUCCUGGCUUCCUCUAGGUAUGGAUGUAUUCUUCCUUUCUUUGAUGAAAACAAUGGAUGCCUGGAGCAACAGAAAAUAUGAAUGGGCUUUAGCUAAUGCAGGAGGGGCUUCCCUCUCCAAGAGAGCAGUGAAGGGACUGUGAGUUGAAGGGGCUGUUGGACCCUGGAUCCCACACAUCUGUGAUUCCUUUGAGAAGGCAAAGGUCUGAGGGAUUCUCCUGGAAACUGGUCCUGGAGAGUCACAGAUAGGGUGUGGGCACAGUGUGACAGCAGAGGGGGAUAGAAGACAGAGUCAACCCCUAAGAGAGCCCACCCCAUACCUCCCCACUCCCAGCCCUGUCUGGACCCACAUCCUGGGACUUAGAGAGUAUGGGGAGCAUCACUCUCACCAAUCUGGUGGAACGUCAACAGUGGGUGCUCAGCAAGUGCUCAGGAGACUGACCCAGUGAGGGCUCAGAGACCAGAUGUCCUCCACCCUGUGGGGAAUUAGUGUCAGUGUGAGGACACCCACAUGGGUACCGAGUGAAUGAGGCAGCACAUAGGCAGAAUAGGUAACGUUUGAGGUAUUAGGAGGAUCCUGGGAAGCCCUGGUAAGAGAUAGAGUCCCUUUGUUCCCUAUUUGGUCAGGUAUUCAUGGAGCACUAGUGUAUGCAGUGAGGGCAAUGAACCAACCAGACACCACUGCCCCUGCCCACGUGGAGUUGAAUUCAAGUGGGAAGUGGGUAGGGAGACAGACCAAGGAGUGUGGCUGGCUUACCCGAAGGAGAGAGAUAACCACAUUAUUGGUUAAGGGGUCCCACUCAAAAAGGCUUUUUUAAAAAAUAUAAUUUAUUGUCCAAUUGACUAACAUACAGUGUGUACAGUGUGCUCUUGGUUUUGGGGGUAGAUUCCCAUGGUUCAUUGCUUACAUACAACAUCCAGUACUCAAUUCAACAAGUGCCCUCCAUAAUGCCCAUCACCCAUUUUCCCCUCUCCCUACACCCCUAUCUACCCUCAGUUUAUUCUCUGUACUUAAGAGUCUCUUAUGGUUUGCCUCCCUCCCUCUCUAUCUUUUCUCAUUCCCUUCCCUCAUGGUCUUCUGUUAAGUUUCUCAAGUUCCACACAUGAGUGAAACAUACAAUAUCUGUCUUUCUCUGACUGACUGAUUUCACUUAUUACAAUACCCUCCAGUUCCAUCCGUGUUGCUGCAAAUGGCAUAAUUUCAUUCUUUCUCGUUGCCAAGCAGCAUUCAAUUGUAUAUAUAAACCACAUCUUCUUUAUCCACUUAUCAGUUGAUGGACAUUUAGGUACUUUCCAUAAUUUGGCUAUUGUUGAGGGUGCUGCCAUAAACAUUGGGGUAUGUGUGCCCCUAUGCAUCAGCACUCCUGUAUCCCUUGGAUAAAUUCCUCGUAGUGCUAUUGAUGUGUCAUAGGGUAGUUCUAUUUUUAUUAUUUAUUAUUUAUUAUUUUUUGACGAUUAAUUUAUUUUAUUAGGGAUACAUCAAAAGAAACAUAGUGUACAGUGUUGAUAUACGGGCCAUUUGUGAGGAUUCCCACAGUAUUUGGCAGUUACCUUAUUUUUUCAUCAGCCUCCGUCAAUUCAGCUUUUCUUUUAUACAACAGGGAAACAUGCUUUCCUCUAAGAUAGCAGACCCAAGGAAUUUAAUAACAUCAAGGAAGUACAAAGGAUUAUCUUUAGUCAUGGAAAUGGAAUAAACGAUGCGUUGAAAAUGGAAUUAAUAGGGGC